rnacentral:rRNA from 1 species
AACGAACGCUGGCGGCAGGCCUAACACAUGCAAGUCGAACGCCCCGCAAGGGGAGUGGCAGACGGGUGAGUAACACGUGGGAACGUACCCCAAGGUUCGGAACAACAGCGGGAAACUGCUGCUAAUACCGGAUGUGACCGAGAGGUGAAAGAUUUAUCGCCUUGGGAUCGGCCCGCGUUAGAUUAGCUAGUUGGUGGGGUAAUGGCCUACCAAGGCUACGAUCUAUAGCUGGUCUGAGAGGAUGAUCAGCCACACUGGGACUGAGACACGGCCCAGACUCCUACGGGAGGCAGCAGUGGGGAAUCUUGGACAAUGGGCGCAAGCCUGAUCCAGCCAUGCCGCGUGAAUGAUGAAGGCCUUAGGGUUGUAAAAUUCUUUCGUCGGGGACGAUAAUGACGGUGCCCGAAGAAGAAGCCCCGGCUAACUUCGUGCCAGCAGCCGCGGUAA